rnacentral:tRNA from 1 species
GCGGGGGUGUCCGAGCAAGGUCUAAGGAGCCGGACUUAAGAUCCGGUGGCCAUAGGGCCUCCGUGGGUUCAAAUCCCACCCCCCGCACCA